rnacentral:rRNA from 1 species
GGUCAAGUAAUCAAGAGCAUACGGAGGAUGCCUAGGUGAUCGUUGAAGAUGAAGGACGUGGCUACCUGCGAUAAGCCUCGGUUAGGCGGAUACAGCCGUUAACCCGGGGAUUUCCGAAUGGGGAAACCCAAUCUUCAAUAGAUUAUUCCGGCUUGAAUAAAAUAGGGCCGGAAGUAAAACCCGCUGAAGUGAAACAUCUCAGUAAGCGGAGGAAAAGAAAUCAAUCGAGAUUCCCUAAGUAGUGGCGAGCGAAAGGGGAAGAGCCCAAACCGAUUGUGCUUGCACAGUCGGGGUUGUAGGAAGAGUCUGCCUUUAAUGGCGAGGAGUUACCAAACCGACGAAUAGAAGAAGAUGCAUGGAAAUGCACACCACAGAGGGUGAUAGUCCCGUAUUCGAAAUUUGAUCGGUCUCCUGAUUCUUUCCUGAGUAGGGCGGGACACGUGAAAUCCCGUCUGAAUCCGGGGAGACCACUCUCCAAGGCUAAAUACAAACGAUCAACCGAUAGUGAACAUAGUACCGUGAGGGAAAGGUGAAAAGCACCGCGGAACGCGGAGUGAAAAGUACCUGAAACCGUAUGCUUACAAGCGGUCGGAGCACCAUGCUAUUAGGGCAACCUAAUAACGGUGUGACGGCGUGCCUUUUGCAGAAUGAUCCUGCGAGUUACUUGGUGCGGCAAGGUUAACGUCUAUAAGGACGGGAGCCGUAGUGAAAGCGAGCCUGAAUAGGGCGAUUUAGUCGCAUAGAGUAGACCCGAAGCGUGGUGAUCUACACAUAGCCAGGGUGAAGUCAGGGUAACACCUGAUGGAGGCCCGAACCGGUGGUCGUUGAAAAUGCCUCGGAUGAGCCGUGUGUUGGAGUGAAAAGCUAAUCGAACUACGUUAUAGCUGGUUCUCCUCGAAAUAGCUUGAGGGCUAGCCUCGAUCGGUAACAUUCAGUGGUAGAGCACUGGAUGGGCUAGGGCUCUUCCAAGAGUACCAAACCCAACCAAACUACGAAUGCUGAGUGCGGAAAAUCGGGAGUCAGACAGUGUGUACUAAGAUUCAUUGUCGAAAGGGAAACAGCCCAGACCGUCAGCUAAGGUCCCUAAAUGAUGCUAAGUGGAAAAGGAUGUGAAGUCGCAAAGACAGCCAGGAGGUUAGCUUAGAAGCAGCUAUCCUUGAAAGAGUGCGUAACAGCUCACUGGUCAACGCGAUUUUGCGCCGAAAAUUAAACGGGGCUCAAGCAUCAUACCGAAGCUACGGGUGUUAUAUUCCUUCGGGAAUGUAACGCGGUAGAGGAGCGUUGUCAGCGGAUAGAAGCUAUACCGAAAGGAGUAGUGGACUGCUGGCAAGUGAGGAUGCAGGAACGAGUAGCGAAAAAUAGAGUGAGAAUCUCUGUCACCGAAAGACUAAGGUUUCCUUCCGUUAAGUUCGUCUGCGGAGGGUUAGCCGGACCCUAAGGCGAGGCUGAAAAGCGUAGUCGAUGGGAAGCAGGUUAAUAUUCCUGCGCUAAUAUACAAACGUUGAUCCAAGGGGUGACGUGGAAGGCUAGGUCUAACGGCGGAUGGUUGUGCCGCGCCGCGAUUGUAGUUCGGGAGCUAGGAAAAUCCGGCUCCCCCUCUUCGGAGGAGAAGAACGAGGAAAGCGGGCACGUAAGGGGAAACCCGAGCGGAACUGACUAACGCCAUGCCACCAAGAAAAACCUCGUGAGGAGAAUGUAUAUUAUCCGUACCGUAAACCGACACAGGUAGUCGAGGAGAGAAUCCUAAGGUGCGCGAGUGAGAUCUUGCGAAGGAACUCGGCAAAUUAGCCCCGUAACUUUGGAAAAAGGGGUGCCCUAGUACCGUUGCUGAAAUUUACUUUCAGUUGCGGGAAUGGGUUGCAGCGAACAGGCUCAAGCGACUGUUUAACAAAAACACAGGUCUCUGCAUAAGACGUAAGUCGACGUAUAGGGACUGACGCCUGCCCGGUGCUGGAAGGUCAUGAGGAGAGGUCAGGGCGCAAGCCCGAAGCUUUGAUUCUAAGCCCCAGUAAACGGCGGCCGUAACUAUAACGGUCCUAAGGUAGCGAAAUUCCUUGUCGGGUAAGUUCCGACCUGCACGAAUGGCGUAACGAUUUGAGCGCUGUCUCCGCAAGAUGCUCGGCGAAACUGUAGCAACAGUGAAGAUGCUGUUUACCAACUGGCAGACAGAAAGACCCCGUGCAGCUUUACUAUACCUUGGCAUUGAGUUUUGGUGCGUUAUGUACAGGAUAGGUGGGAGGCUUUGAAGUUUCGGCGUUAGCCGGGAUGGAGCCAUCCUUGGGAUACCACCCUUAUUGUUCCGAGAUUCUAACCCGUACCCUUAAGCAGGGGCGGGAACAUUGUCAGGCGGGUAGUUUGACUGGGGCGGUCGCCUCCAAAAAUGUAACGGAGGCGUGCAAAGGUUCCCUCAGCUCGGUCGGUAUCGAGCGUCGAGUGCAAUGGCACAAGGGAGCUUAACUGUGAGACUGACAAGUCGAUCAGAUACGAAAGUAGGUCAUAGUGAUCCGGUGGUUCCACGUGGGUGGGCCAUCGCUCAUCGGACAAAAGCUACGCCGGGGAUAACAGGCUUAUCGGACCCAAGAGUUCACAUCGACGGCCCGGUUUGGCACCUCGAUGUCGGCUCAUCGCAUCCUGGGGGUGGAGAAGCUCCCAAGGGUUAGGCUGUUCGCCUAUUAAAGCGGUACGUGAGCUGGGUUCAGAACGUCGUGAGACAGUUCGGUCCUUAUCUCCAGUUGGCGUUGGAUGCUUGAGAGGAGUCGUUCUCAGUACGAGAGGACCGGAACGAACUGACCUCUGGUGAAGGAGUCGUCACGCCAGUGGCGAACGCUCCAUAGCUACGUCGGGACUGGAUAAUCGCUGAAAGCAUCUAAGCGAGAAACCAACCUCGAGAUUAUGCAUCCCUGAUCUUUAUGAUCACUAAAGACCCCUGGAAGAUUACCAGGUUGAUAGGUGGUAGGUGUAAGCGCGGUAACGUGUUGAGCCGAGCCAUACUAAUAGGUCGUGAGGCUUGACCAC